ACUGCUCAGUAACACGUAGGUAUCUACCUUCAAGUGGGAAAUAGCCCUGCGAAAGCGGGAGUAAUGUCCCAUGUGGUCGAAAGACUAAAGAUUUAUCGCUUGAAGAUGAGCCUGCGGCCUAUCAGGUAGUUGGUGGGGUAAAAGCCUACCAAGCCUAUGACGGGUACCCGGUCUAAGAGGAUGAACGGGCAGAGGGGCACUGAGACACGGGCCUCACUCCCACGGGAGGCAGCAAUCGGGAAUUUUGCACAAUGGACGAAAGUCUGAUGCAGCGACGCCGCGUGAAGGAUGACGGCCUUCGGGUUGUAAACUUCUGAAAAUAGCACCGGCUAACUACGUGCCAGCAGCAGCGGUCAUACGUAGGGUGCAAGCAUUAUCCGGAUUUAUUGGGCGUAAAGAGUUCUGUAGGCGGCGAUGUAAGUUCAGGGUUAAAUCCUUCGGCUCAACCGAAGAACUGCUUUGAAUACUACAUUGCUAGAGAUGACUAGGGGGCACUAGAACUUACGGUGGAGCAGUGAAAUGCGUUGAUAUCGUAGGGAAUACCAAGGGGGAAGCCAAGUGCCUGGGGUUAUUCUGACGCUGAGAGACGAAAGCUAGGGUAGGGAAACGGAUUAGAUACCCGUGUACUCCUAGCUGUAAACAAUGCCUGCUAGAUACCUGGUUUUUUCUGGGUGUCGAAGCUAACGCGUUAAGCAGGCCGCCUGGGGAGUACGGCCGCAAGGCUAAAACUCAAAGGAAUUGGCGGGGGAGCAC
rnacentral:rRNA from 1 species